ensembl:lncRNA
GCAGUUUUCAAAAUAAUGUUUCAUUUAUUUAAGCAUUAACAGUAAUAAUCAGAAGUAAAUACAUUGAGGAAUGUCUGUAUGCCCUAUGAAAGGGUAACAGCCAUAUUUCUCCACAGCAUUUAUAACAAUAAAUCAUUAUUAUUGCUUUAUCUCUAAAUAGAUACCUUCAGUCAUCAUUAUUCUUUCCUUAUGAUUCCCGGUGUCAUUUUGAGUCAUUUUAAGGGAGGAGUAUUUAUACAUACAAUAAGAUUGUGGCUACCCAGUAAUCUUCCCAUGUGACUGGUGAAUGUUCAGCCACAAAUAUUUACAACACUGUAAAAAUCCACCUUAGAGUUUGUUAGACAAACUAAAUGUUGGCUGAACUUGACUAGAAAAAGCUGAUUACAAAACAAACUGACAGUGAAUUUUAGCAUUAGACAUUUAACAUUUCAAACACAGCUAAUAGAAACAUACAACAUGGUUGUGAUGUGAUUAAAUGCUUGUUGUGUUACUCGUUUGUAAAUAGCUUUGGAUAUAUAAAAAUAGUUUAAAUAGCUAAUCUUUUGUUGUACUGUUGAUGGUGGUUGUAUUUACUGAAUUGGGGUCUUAUCGCGAUUUGCUGUAUGUUCUGCAUAAGUAGGCCUAUUAUAGAUCAUUUAAUGGAGAUACUCAAUAUUUUUUUUAUCCAGUGCACGCUGACACGCCCCCUUGUUUCCGUGGAGCACUACGCAGUUUCACUUUCACUUUCACUUAAAAACAAAGGACAGUCGUUUCUGUUUGCUGCAGUAUCUCACCCUGGCGAACGCAUUUAUAUAAUCCUCAACAGUGUUAAGAUGGACAUGAAGGAAAUGGUUAUUGAAGUGAAUGGACUUCCAGACAACUACUCCAAUAAUGAAAUGAUUGACAAAUUAACCAUGCACUUUUUGAGGCCCAGUAACAAAGGUGGAGAGGUUUUAAUAGUGAUUUAUCCCACCUCCAACAAAGGCCAGGCUUAUGUUGUUUUUGAAAAAGAAGAAGGUAUGAUACUAUGUUGUUCUUUAAGUAUAUCUUACUAUAAAAUCAUAUUGCAUGACUAAUAUUUGUUUUUUAUUUAUUUAUUUAUUUUAUUUUUAUUCAAUAUCUUAGUACCAGGGGUCUUGGAACAUAAUCAUGUUUUGGAACUGGAUAGUCAGUUUUACCCACUGGAUGUUAAAAAGAUGCAUCAGCCUAAAGUAAGACAUUUCAUUGGUUAACGUCACUGAAUCACACAGAAUUAUGUGAUUUACAACUUUAGUAUGCAGCAUUCCUCCCAUAAUCCAGUCACUGCACAUUUUUAAUAAUUACCAUUUUCCUAACAUCUUAUUUAAUCUGAAUAUUUAUCUUCUGUGGGUCCCAGAAGAUAAAACCGCAAAAGAUAAAAGUAUUUACACAAGAAUUUACAGAAGAUAUAUAAACAUAACUAUAAACUAUAAGAAAUAAAAUCAAAUCAAUUAACA